rnacentral:rRNA from 1 species
UACGAAGGGUGCAAGCGUUAAUCGGAAUUACUGGGCGUAAAGGGUGCGUAGGCGGUUGUUUAAGUCUGGCGUGAAAUCCCCGGGCUCAACCUGGGAAUGGCGAUGGAUACUGGGCAGCUAGAGUGUGUCAGAGGAUGGUGGAAUUCCCGGUGUAGCGGUGAAAUGCGUAGAGAUCGGGAGGAACAUCAGUGGCGAAGGCGGCCAUCUGGGACAACACUGACGCUGAAGCACGAAAGCGUGGGGAUCAAACAGG